CAAAUAGAGAAGUAAAUAUAAAUACAAAUAGUUUCGGCCUAUUAAUAGAGAAAAUCUCCCUAUUU
rnacentral:tRNA from 1 species